GGACAAUUCGAACAGUUCGGACAUUGUGUGAAUCAGAGGUGGAGGAUCUAGGACCUCUGAUUGUCAGGGGAUUCUGCAAAUGCAAACUUAAACAACUGCAACAAGAUGGGGCCCUCCGAGAGGCAGAUUCCCAGCUUGCAGGAAGUAGUUUGUUUCUCCCAUCGCUCUGGGGGAAGGGGAGCGGAAAAGUCAGCAUCGGACCUGUUCUCCACACACCCUCAUUCCACAGCAUCUGGCCUCUCUUUCGAUUUUAUUACACAAGAAUAACAAUAAAGCAGGUCUGCGACCCCGUCUAUGGAAUUUGCCGUAUUUUUUCCAACGGUCUGUGCUGAUGCUCCGAAUUUCCAUUUUCUGCAUGCAUAUUUAAUUGAGUUUUGUCCCAGUGGUGCGGAAAUGAUUUGUUUUUUGCUCUCUGUUCACUUGACUCCUCUUCGGAGUCGGUAACCCUGAUUAAGACGUUCACGUUAAUUUCCCAGCGCACACCUUUUUUUGUGCAUUAAUGGUUCUGAUCGUCUAAUUAAAACUUCUCAGCUUCGCUGCUGAUCACCGCUCGUUGUG